rnacentral:snRNA from 1 species
GUGCUUGCUUCAGAAGCACAUAUACCAAAAUUGGAACAAUAUAGAGAAGAUCAGCAUAGCCCCGGUACAAGGAAGACAUGCAAAUUCAUGAAGGGUUCCUAUUUAAA